rnacentral:rRNA from 1 species
UACGAAUGGGGCAAGCGUUGUUCGGAAUCACUGGGCGUAAAGCGUGUGUAGGCGGUCUACCAAGUCAGGAGUGAAAUCCCAGGGCUCAACCCUGGAAUUGCUCUUGAAACUGGUAGCUAGAGUACUGGAGAGGUUAGCAGAAUUCCGAGUGUAGAGGUGAAAUUCGCAGAUAUUCGGAGGAAUACCAGUGGCGCAAGCGGCUAACUGGACAGUAACUGACGCUGAGACACGAAAGCGUGGGGAUCAAACAGG